rnacentral:misc_RNA from 1 species
CACCCCUCAACAAUUUCCAGCCGCCACAGCCUCCCUGUCUUCUUCCCCCACGCGCAGCAGCACCUUCUUCCCCAGCGCGCAGGGAGCUCGGCUCCCUUCCUCUCCAUGGCGCCCAAGCCCUUCUUCCUCAAGCCGGCGCCCAAGCAUGCUCCCUCCCCUGCCCUUCUUCUCCCAUGGGCGCGAGCUCCACCUUCCCUGUUUUGGACGCCGCGCAGAAGCUCCUCCAUGGCAGGCGCCCAGGCGAGCUUCCCCCCAUGGCGCUCGGCUCCCUAUUCCUUGGUGCCCUGUGGUCGCCCCCUUCUUCACCUGGACGCGCGCACCCCUCCUCCGGCUCGCCUCCCUUCAGGCAGGACCAGCUGCAGCUCUGCGCUCCACCUCCCAUGGCGCCCCUGCGACUUCCAUGGCCGCCAGCCCUCCCUGCGAGCUCAGCUCCUCCCCAUUCAUGGCGCCCCCUGCUCUUCCCUGCCCGGCCAGGAAACGCCCAGGCCAGGAGCGCCUUGAGCUCGCCCCUGCUCCUCUCUCUCUACCAAGCGCCCCCCCUGCAAUCUUCCCCAAGCUGUCUUCCUCCUCUCCCCAACGGCGCCCUCCUCUUUUCCUCUCUGUUCCAGACCGGCAUCAGGGCAGUGCGCACAAACUCUCCCAGCCAAGGACAACACCAUCCCCUCCCUUGCUGCUGCUCGCCCCCUACCUCCUUUUCCCCUAGUGCGACAGCAAGGAACUCCUGUUCUAUCGGCAGCCAUGGCAUCCAAGUUCUCUGCGCAGCGAUGUCGGUCCAAAACAGCAGCCUCGGAUCCCCUCCGCAUCGCGUGCUUCGCUCGAUCUGCGCAGUCCCGACCCACGCCGUCGCGUUGGUGUUUGGGGACAGCCCAUGUUGUGUCGUUGAUCUGCGCAGUUCGACUGUCUACGCGUCUCACUUCGCCAAAUCUGCGUAGCCCCAACAUCGACGUCGUUCACCCUGGUGAGACGACGAUGAUCUUUGUUUGAUUCCACAUCGGCAUUGUUCUCCGGUGAUUAAAUUGUGUAUAUGUGUUGUUUUGUUUUAUUUUGUGGAGGCGAGGAACCCCAUGUUUUGCGUGGAGAAGAAGGCAAGACGUCAACGCUCGUCGGAUGUUUGGAGCGAUGCACAAAUCGGAAUCACCGUCAUUCUUGCAAACACCGUGUGGGUUUGUUUAUGGUGAGCCAAUGCAUGUCGCUCUCAAUCGACUCGAUUAAUUAUUUUGAAUGGAUGUGUG